GGCGGGGCCUCGUUGCUUUGCGGGAUGAGGCGUUGAGUCUCCUCAGGGGAGAGGGCUGAGAUACAAAAGAAGCCCCACACGACAGUGUCUCCUGCUAAGCCUCAACACCUAGAACAGCCCGGUGCUAACACACGGCGGUGGGAGCGGCUCCUUUGACUGAAGUGCCGGGGCUCUGGCGUCUGGUGCCGGGUUCAAUUUUCCACUGGCGAACGUGACACUCAUCUCGAGGUGGCUGCUCAGCACCAGCUCCCCUCUCACAUCUGUGGAGAAGUUUUUGGAACACCGUUCCCAUUGAUAGCUAAGGAAGAAUUGAAGUCUCCUGCAUACACAUGUGAGGUUUUGGCUCUGAGGACAGACCUCGGGAUGUGGCCCAUUGGAUGACUGGUCCUCGGAUAUAAAUUUGGUUUUAUGAAUUAAUCUAAUCUCUCCAUGCAAUUCUGUGCCUUAACAUUGCUCCAGCAGCUUAAAGGGGCUAGAACAUUGGCAGAUUCACCAGCCAGAAAUUCUCCCCCUUGCAGGAGACGAGUCUAGACGAAAACAUCACAUCUGAAAUCCCCUCACCCGGGUGACAUUUCAGCUCUAACUCUAGAGCCAAAAACUUUGUAAAUUCCCACCAGCUAUACUAGUCUGAACCCAAAUCCUGGAUU